GACAGGUGUGAUAUUUUACAUGCUACGUGUGGGCAUGUCAAGCAAGCAAUAUAUGACUAAGACUAUUUAGUAGAAUUGGUGGCUGAUUCAAUUGAGAUAAUAAAGUCUAAUAAUAUCAAUGGGUUGGUUAAGUGGAUGGGCACCACUGGAAAGUAAACGUUGGACCCUUCACCAUUUUAUAUAGGAAAAUUUCAUACAUAUGUAUGUAGCAGAUUGCAUUUUCGAAAUAUUACGAGAAUGGUUACUUAGAGAUCUGAAAUGCAUCAUAAUAAAUUGAAGGGAGUCGACCAACGAAAGAGGCAUGUGAAGAACAUAAUCCAGUAAAAGAACAUUUAAGGAAGUAUUGGGAGCGCAGGGCUAAUUUAACAUUCGAGGACGAAUGUUCUAAAGGGGGGAAGGAUGUUACAUCCCGUAUUUUCAUGUGUUGGAAAGGGUGCGAGUUAAAUGAUAUUAGUAACGAAAAUGAGGUUAUCCUCCCAAGUUUGUGGGUGGUUGUAGUAAUGAUACAGAUGUGUUAUAAAUAUUUGAAGUUAAACAAAUCUAAGAAAAUAAGUUUUGUCGAGGUUCGAAAUUUAUUUGAUGAAAUACGGUCCAAGCUAUAAUAUCCCGUAUUUUUGGACUAGAAAAAUUUAAUCGUCCAAUAUGAGCAAAAUUUACACGAGCACGGAGGAUUUGAUCAUAUUCAAGUAUGCAAAUUAAGAACUCGGUGUAUAAGAGGAUGAAGUCCCGAAAUGAUUUAAGACGGUAAAAAGUGACAUCGAUGAUUGGAAAUAAUAUUUUAUGUGUGGCAAAAGAGGCCAUGAACUAGUGACAUAUCAUAGGAGCAUAAAAUGUGUAUAUAAGGUGUGCUAAAAAAAUCAUUACUAUUUAAGUGAACUGAGAGCAAGAGACUAGUUAUGUGGAUAAAUUAAAAGUGGCCGAAGGUAGCGUGAAACAAAAAUGAUUAGUCAAAAUAUUUGCAUGAUGCUAAGAGGACAACAUUUAUAUGCGGGUCCCACAAAGGGAUAAUCAUUAUAGAUAAUAUUGGACAAGGACAUAUGUUUGGUCCAAGGGCAGUACGUGUUUCAUUCUUAUACAAUUACAGGAAGUUGCAUAAUUCACCAAAUGCUACGUUAAAUAAUAGUAAUGAGUGUCAUGUGUCCUUGUCAUGUGAAUUAGACAAAAGUGGCAUGAAGCGUUAUGGGUGAGUCAUAAAGCACAUAAAGUGCAUGGGGAUACGUUUAAGGCCAAGGAAGUGAAUGCCUUUUUGCAUUUACAAUGGCUGCACAUUACUUUCUACUUGGAGAAUUCCCAUUUUUACAUUGCUUUCAUUUUUGCUUCUUAAGAAACGUACCAGCACCCCUAAAUUAAACCAUUCUCUCUUAGCUAAUCAUUUUGUUUCUUAAGAAAAUUAGCAUUAACCAUGGCUGCCAAGCUCACGGCCAUGGCAGUCCACAAUAAGGCUCAAUAUUUUGAUAGCAAAAUGAAAUAAAAUAAAUAAAUAAAUAAUCUCCGAGGUGUUCUAAGUGUUUGAGGGAGCAGCAAGAUCAGAAGUUAAAGUUGAAGAAGAUGAAAUGGACAAAUUGUGCAAGUUAUUGGAAGAUCUGUCCUAAUUAUAUUUGAGACCUGCGAGCUCGAGAAGUAGACGUUGGACAUUAGAUAGAGUUCAAGGUAUGUGAGGCUAGUCCUUUCUUUCUAUGGCAUGAAUCUUAUAGCUUGACUCUCUUUUUAUCCAUGAGUUUCCUUAAGUUCCAAAAAUACGAGUCUAUGUCCAUAAUUAGACACACAAGGUAAUGAGUAAAGUAUAGAAAUCCCAAUACUCAUGUUGUGAUGAUCCUAUGAUGUUAAUGAUGUUAUUUAUUGCUUACACUCACCUUAUAUGCUAAUUCCUUCAAGGUGAGGCAGGAUGUCAAUGAAUGUUCCAUAAUGACGUCGGAAGCCACCGACUUUACGUCACUCCGAUAUAGUUAUGGCUUUUGAUUGGGCUCUUAUGCAUGCUUUAUAUAUAUACGUAUGUAUUUUCUCACACCGCGCCGCGCUAUAGUCGGCCGGGCAGGCACGUAGAUGUGCACACCACUAUAGUGGGCAGCUUAUACCCCGGACGCGGGAGGCCUGGACGCAGGCUAUGAUUAUCACACCGCUCCUACCUGGACGGGCAGCUUAUACAUUAUCACAAUGUACCUAUAUGGACGGGCAGCUUAUAUGUGUAUACAUACAUGGUAAUGAUUAUGAGUAAGUGAGCAUGCAUUAUUUCAGUUAUUUUUGAUAGCCAGUACAGAUUGCCCUUUCUUGAUGCCUCCUUUAUCUCAUUGAUGCCUUCAUAUUUCAUUGAUAUAUUGCUAUUGUUUAUGCCUCUCAUACUCAGUACAAUAUUCGUACUGACGUCCGUUUUCUUCGGACGCUGUGUUCAUGCCCACAGGUAGACAGGGAGGUGAGCUUGAUCCAGAUUCUUAGUAGCUGUCAGCUGAUUGAGAGCACUCCAUUGUUCGGAGGUGCUUAUGUUUAUUCUUUUGGCUCCUUUAUGUAUUUCGCGCACGACGGAGUCUUGUUCCGUCUAUAUGUAUAAUAUGUCAGUAGAGGCUCGUAGAUGCGCAGUGUGGGUUAGAUGGUCUCACAAGAUUACUAUGUUAUAUUUGUAUAUGUUAUUUUGAUGGCCUAAGGGGCACAUGUAUAAUAAAAUCAUUUGUGUUGUCAAAUGAAAAAUGGUUGUCUUA